UUGGGAUUUUAUAUAACCCAAAGGCGCAAUUAACUUAACUUAAUUUAUUAUUACAAAUAAUAAUAUAAUGGGAUUAGUUUUUAGUCUUAUAUGAAUUUUGUAUAAGUCUAUUAAUUCAAUCCCGGGGCGUUCUAUAUGGUUAUGUAUAAUAAUUUAUAAUGAAUUAUAUAUACCUCUAACUGGAACGUACCUAGAGCAUACAUGCUGUGACCCGAAAGAUGGUGAACUAUACUUGAUCAGGUUGAAGUCAGGGGAAACCCUGAUGGAGGACCGAAACAGUUCUGACGUGCAAAUCGAUUGUCAGAAUUAAGUAUAGGGGCGAAAGACCAAUCGAACCAUCUAGUAGCUGGUUCCUUCCGAAGUUUCCCUCAGGAUAGCUGGUGCAUAAUGAGGAUUACAAGAUAAUCUUAUCUGGUAAAGCGAAUGAUUAGAGGCAUUAGGGUCGAAACGACCUUAACCUAUUCUCAAACUUUAAAUGGGUAAAAACUUCACCUUUCUUGAUAUGAAGGUUGAAGAUAUGAUAUAAAUGUGCCCAGUGGGCCACUUUUGGUAAGCAGAACUGGCGCUGUGGGAUGAACCAAACGUAAUGUUAUGGUGCCCAAAUUAACAACUCAUGCAGAUACCAUGAAAGGCGUUGGUUGCUUAAAACAGCAGGACGGUGUGCAUGGAAGUCGUAAUCCGCUAAGGAGUGUGUAACAACUCACCUGCCGAAGCAACUAGCCCUUAAAAUGGAUGGCGCUUAAGUUGUAUACCUAUACAUUACCGCUAAAGUAGAUGAUUUUUAUAUAUGUAUUUUCCUAAUAGAUUAUAUAAUAUGUAUAAAUUUUGAAACUUUAGUGAGUAGGAAGGUACAAUGGUGAGCUUAGAAGUGUUUGGCGUAAGCCUGCAUGGAGCCGCUAUUGGUACAGAUCUUGGUGGUAGUAGCAAAUAAUCGAAUGAGACCUUGGAGGACUGAAGUGGAGAAGGGUUUCGUGUGAACAGUGGUUGAUCACGAGUUAGUCGGUCCUAAGUUCAAGGCGAAAGCCGAAAAUUUUCAAGUUCUUAAUAUAAUAUAAUAUAUGUAUAAAAGACUUGAUUAUUUUUCGAACGAAAGGGAAUACGGUUCCAAUUCCGUAACCUGUUGAGUAUACGUUUGUUAUUAAAAAUGGACCCUGUGUUCAUCCUGGCAACAGUAACGACCAUAAAGAAGCCGUCGAGAGAUAUCGGAAGAGUUUUCUUUUCUGUUUUAUAGUCGUACUACCAUGGAAGUCUUUCGAAGAGAGAUAUGGUAGAUGGACUAGAAGAGCAUGACAUUUACUGUUGUGUCGAUAUUUUCUCCUCGGACCUUGAAAAUUUAUGGUGGGGUCACGCAAACUUCUUAACAGGCCGUACCGAUAUCCGCAGCUGUGCUCCAAGGUGAAGAGUCUCUAGUCGAUAAAAUAAUGUAGGUAAGGGAAGUC
rnacentral:rRNA from 1 species